UGGGGAAUAUUGCACAAUGGGCGCAAGCCUGAUGCAGCCAUGCCGCGUGUAUGAAGAAGGCCUUCGGGUUGUAAAGUACUUUCAGCGGGGAGGAAGGCGAUAAGGUUAAUAACCUUGUCGAUUGACGUUACCCGCAGAAGAAGCACCGGCUAACUCCGUGCCAGCAGCCGCGGUAAUACGGAGGGUGCAAGCGUUAAUCGGAAUUACUGGGCGUAAAGCGCACGCAGGCGGUCUGUCAAGUCGGAUGUGAAAUCCCCGGGCUCAACCUGGGAACUGCAUUCGAAACUGGCAGGCUAGAGUCUUGUAGAGGGGGGUAGAAUUCCAGGUGUAGCGGUGAAAUGCGUAGAGAUCUGGAGGAAUACCGGUGGCGAAGGCGGCCCCCUGGACAAAGACUGACGCUCAGGUGUGAAAGCGUGGGGAGCAAACA
rnacentral:rRNA from 1 species